rnacentral:lncRNA from 1 species
AGCUCUUCUACCCAGCUACCAUCUCCUCUACAGCAAGAGGCCUCCUUCUUCCCUAGUCCACUUUGUAUGUGGCUGGAAUGUUAGAGAGCACGUAGUUUUCCAUGAGGGUUUGCAAUGACUGCUUGAGAAUUCAGAGCCAAAUAUCUGGCCCACAACUGGAAAGCGAAAAGGACAAUGCACCAGGAGAGCUCUGCCCUGCUGGGAACCAGGCCUUUCCCUCUGCGGGUGGCUGCUGGCCACCCCGGGCCCUUGGAGCUGCAAAGUGUAUAGAUCCUGUUCUGAGGUCAGGAAGCAGAACUGCAUGGGCCCCCAAGCCUCACAAGAUCCCUCUGUUCCACGAACACACACGUCCACUUGACAUCCCAGUCUGGAGUCUCUACAUCACAAGUAUCAAAGCAUCUCAAAGCAUCUCAGUGUUGCUUCCUGGAAGACCCAGGCAUGAUCUCACCCAAUGGUUUCAGGAGGACCGGAUGAGCAAUGGUGGUGGGUAAAGGACGUCACUCAUAGCACAGCCUCACCCUGACAAUUUCCUGUCAAACGGUGUUCUGUCCACGACAAAGCUUCGUGGGCAAAAGUCCAGUCCCCUAUUUGGGCUGGUCUUUAUUUACUGUUGAUUGGAGAAAAUUAAUCUGUACAUAAAUUAUACAAUUC